rnacentral:lncRNA from 1 species
UGCCGAGCUCGCGUUGCCAGCCGGCGGAACACCUUUCGGCUCGCCGCCACCUUGGCGUCGUGUUUCAGAGCCAAUAAGUGGAGGGGGGCACGCACGAAACGGUGUUUACGUUGGCAGGCGCGCGGGGGAGGAGAUAGAUGGGAGCUGCGCUGGCGAACGACAGGACGUGCUUCUUCAUCCUUCGUUUGUUCUCCUCAAUCCUUUAACGUUAUUUCUUUCGACUCGUUAGCGAAAGUGGUCGGAGGUCUGCUUCGCCCGCUUCGGCGUCACCGAUCGCAGCUUUUUUUAUUGGUAGCCCGAAAUUCUAGCUCUUGAGCCCAAGGUUUGUUCGAUUCAGCCGAACACUGUGCGAUAACCAAGCCCAUUGGUGACGUGAGCCCGCGGUAACAUGUUAUACACUCGAAACUUUACGCGUCGUUGUUACAGCCAUGUUUAGAACCAGCAUAUGGUUAAACCUGAGCGAUAUUUUAUGAAAGGGUAUCGAUAGCGGAAGAAACUCGUUGUCCGUGGUUGAUCGACUCUUCAGAACGGUCUGACAGAGGUGCGUCGUUUGAAGUUCGACGUUGGAACAAGAAAGCACAGAGUCAGCUCUCUUGGGAACGACGCUGAAGGCCGACCAUCGGAUCGAAGCUUCUAUGGAACAUAGGAGGACGAGCUGCGUGCGGCCGCUGGAACACGCAGUCGUAGCAGGGACCCGAUCGAGCUGCAGAACACGAAGAGGGGAAGGAGUUGGCGGACCGGGAGGCGGAGGAGCCGAGCGCCCGCAGCGGAAGAAGCAACAACAGCAACGGCUGUAGUAGGAGCAGUAGCAGCAGCAACGGCCGGGCAGUCCACGAGACGCGCCGCAGAGCCCUAGAGGCAGGCAGCAUUCCUCGCGCCCAACAGCAGCAGAAGCAGCAGCACCACCACCGGACACCCUUCACCCGGCGCUGCCGACCCAGCCGGAGGACCCCACCCGUCUUCCGCACGCGGGAAAGGCGGUACAGCA